rnacentral:rRNA from 3 species
AACUUUCAACAACGGAUCUCUUGGCUCUCGCAUCGAUGAAGAACGCAGCGAAAUGCGAUAAGUAAUGUGAAUUGCAGAAUUCAGUGAAUCAUCGAAUCUUUGAACGCACCUUGCGCCCUUUGGUAUUCCGAAGGGCACACCUGUUUGAGUGUCGU